CCUACGGGAGGCAGCAGUGAGGAAUAUUGGUCAAUGGGCGCGAGCCUGAACCAGCCAAGUAGCGUGAAGGAUGACUGCCCUACGGGUUGUAAACUUCUUUUAUAGAGGAAUAAAGUGAGGCACGUGUGCCUUUUUGUAUGUACUUUAUGAAUAAGGAUCGGCUAACUCCGUGCCAGCAGCCGCGGUAAUACGGAGGAUCCGAGCGUUAUCCGGAUUUAUUGGGUUUAAAGGGGGCGUAGAUGGGUUGUUAAGUCAGUUGUUAAAGUUUGCGGCUCAACCGUAAAAUUUCAAUUGAGACUGGCAGCAUGGAGUACAGUGGAGGUAGGCGGAAUUCGUGGUGUAGCGGUGAAAUGCGUAGAUAUCACGAAGAACUCCGAUUGCGAAGGCAGCCUACGAAACUGCAACUGACAUUGAUGCUCGAAAGUGUGGGUAUCAAACAGGAUUAGAUACCCGAGUAGUC
rnacentral:rRNA from 1 species